rnacentral:rRNA from 1 species
CGGUGGAGCAUGUGGUUAAUUCGAAGCAACGCGAAGAACCUUACCAGGUCUUGACAUCCCGAUGCUAUUCCUAGAGAUAGGAAGUUCUUCGGAACAUCGGUGACAGGUGGUGCAUGGUUGUCGUCAGCUCGUGUCGUGAGAUGUUGGGUUAAGUCCCGCAACGAGCGCAACCCCUAUUGUUAGUUGCCAUCAUUAAGUUGGGCACUCUAGCGAGACUGCCGGUAAUAAACCGGAGGAAGGUGGGGAUGACGUCAAAUCAUCAUGCCCCUUAUGACCUGGGCUACACACGUGCUACAAUGGUUGGUACAACGAGUCGCGAGUCGGUGACGGCAAGCAAAUCUCUUAAAGCCAAUCUCAGUUCGGAUUGUAGGCUGCAACUCGCCUACAUGAAGUCGGAAUCGCUAGUAAUCGCGGAUCAGCACGCCGCGGUGAAUACGUUCCCGGGCCUU